rnacentral:rRNA from 1 species
AACGUAGGACACAAGCGUUAUCCGGAGUUAUUGGGCGUAAAGGGCGUUUAGGCGGGUGAUUAAGUUCGCUAUGAAAGCGCCAGGCUAAACCUGGCGAGGCUGGCGGAUACUGGUCAUCUGGAGUGAGUCAGAGGAAGGUAGAAUUCCGCGUGUAGUGGUGAAAUGCGCAGAUAUCAGGAGGAACACCAAUGGCGAAGGCAGCUCGCUGGGACGUGACUGACGCUGAGACGCGAAAGCGUGGGGAGCAAACAGG